rnacentral:rRNA from 1 species
AACGUAGGACGCAAGCGUUAUCCGGAGUUACUGGGCGUAAAGCGCGAGCAGGCGGCUCGACAAGUUCGCUGUGAAAGCUCCCGGCUCAACCGGGCGAGGCCAGUGGAAACUAUCGAGCUGGAGGGCAGUAGAGGCAGGCGGAAUUCCUGGUGUAGCGGUGAAAUGCGCAGAUAUCAGGAGGAACACCAAUGGCGAAGGCAGCUCGCUGGGACGGUACUGACGCUGAGACGCGAAAGCUAGGGGAGCAAACAGG